GAACGGGUGCGUAACACGUGGAUAACCUUCCUUCAGGUGGGGAAUAACCCAGUGAAAAUUGGGCUAAUACCGAUAACAUGACGAUGCCACAUGGUGUUGUCUUCAAAGGCGCAAGUCGCCAGAAGAGGGAUCCGCGGCCGAUUAGCUAGUUGGCGAGGUAAUGGCUCACCAGGGCAAUGAUCGGUAGCCGGACUGAGAGGUUGGCCGGCCACACUGGAACUGAGACACGGUCCAGACUCCUACGGGAGGCAGCAGUGGGGAAUCUUGCACAAUGGACGAAAGUCUGAUGCAGCAACGCCGCGUGGGGGAUGAAGCUUUUCGGAGUGUAAACCCCUUUCGACCCGGAAGAAAGCCGCAAGGUUUGACGGUACCCGUGGAAGAAGCCCCGGCUAACUCCGUGCCAGCAGCCGCGGUAAUACGGGGGGGGCAAGCGUUGUUCGGAAUUACUGGGCGUAAAGGGCGCGUAGGCGGUUUGCUAAGUUGGAUGUGAAAACUCUGGGCUUAACCCAGAGCCUGCAUUCAAAAUGACAGGCUAGAGUUCUGGAGGGGAUAGCGGAAUUCCUGGUGUAGCGGUGAAAUGCGUAGAUUCAGGAGGAACACCGGUG
rnacentral:rRNA from 1 species